rnacentral:rRNA from 1 species
UAGGGAAUCUUCCGCAAUGGGCGAAAGCCUGACGGAGCAACGCCGCGUGAGUGAUGAAGGUCUUCGGAUCGUAAAACUCUGUUCUUAGGGAAGAACAAAUGUGUAAGUAACUAUGCACGUCUUGACGGUACCUAAUCAGAAAGCCACGGCUAACUACGUGCCAGCAGCCGCGGUAAUACGUAGGUGGCAAGCGUUAUCCGGAAUUAUUGGGCGUAAAGCGCGCGUAGGCGGUUUUUUAAGUCUGAUGUGAAAGCCCACGGCUCAACCGUGGAGGGUCAUUGGAAACUGGAAAACUUGAGUGCAGAAGAGGAAAGGGGAAUUCCAUGUGUAGCGGUGAAAUGCGCAGAGAUAUGGAGGAACACCAGUGGCGAAGGCGACUUACUGGUCUGUAACUGACGCUGAUGUGCGAAAGCGUGGGGAUCAAACAGG